GUUCUACGGGAGGCAGCAGUAGGGAAUCUUCCACAAUGGGCGCAAGCCUGAUGGAGCAACACCGCGUGAGUGAAGAAGGGUUUCGGCUCGUAAAGCUCUGUUGUUGGAGAAGAACGUGCGUGAGAGUAACUGUUCACGCAGUGACGGUAUCUAACCAGAAAGCCACGGCUAACUACGUGCCAGCAGCCGCGGUAAUACGUAGGUGGUAAGCGUUAUCCGGAUUUAUUGGGCGUAAAGGGAACGCAGGCGGUCUUUUAAGUCU
rnacentral:rRNA from 1 species